rnacentral:rRNA from 1 species
GACGAACGCUGGCGGCGUGCUUAACACAUGCAAGUCGAACGGAAAGGCCCGGCUUUUGUGGGGGGCUGGGGGGGCUAACGGGGGAGAAACACGUGAGUCACCUGCGCUUGCCUUUGGGAUAACUUCAGUAAACUGGGGCUAAUAGCGGAUAUUAGCGCCUGCUGCGUGGGGGGGGUUGGAAAGUGUCGGCGGUUGGGGAUGGACUCGCGGCUUAUCAGCUUGUUGGUGGGGUAGUGGCUUACGAAGGCUUUGACGGGUAGCCGGCCUGGGAGGGUGACCGGCCACAUGGGGCCUGAGACACGGCCCAGCCUCCGACGGGAGGCAGGAGUGGUGAACAGUGCACAGUGGGCGGAACGCUGAGGCAGCAACGCCGGGCGUGGGAUGACGGCCUUCUGGUGGUAAACCGCUUUCGCCUGGGAUGAAGCGUUAGUGACGGUAACGGGAAAAGAAGCACCGGCUAACUACGUG